rnacentral:lncRNA from 1 species
CCAGUUCUCAGGCGAGAGCCGCGGCUGACAGGGUCUGGGACAGAAGGAAAGCCCUCCAGCCUCCAGGCCCUGCCUUCUGCCUGCACAUUCUGCCCUGAUUUCCGGAACCUGGAAGCCUAGGCAGGCAGUGGGGAACUCUGACUCGCCUGUGCUCUGGAGCUUGAUCCGAAAGCUUCCACAGUGAGGACUGCUCCGUGGGGGUAAGAGAGCACCAGGCACUGAGGCCUGGGAGUUCCACAGACCAACACCCCUGCUCCUGGCGGCUCCCACCCGGGACUUAGACCCUCAGGUCCCUAAUAUCCCGGAGGUGCUCUCAAUCAGAAAGGUCCUGCUCCGCUUCGCAGUGGAAUGGAACGGAUUUAGAAGCCUGCAGUAGGGGAGUGGGGAGUGGAGAGAGGGAGCCCAGAGUUACAGACGGCGGCGAGAGGAAGGAGGGGCGUCUUUAUUUUUUUAAGGCCCCAAAGAGUCUGAUGUUUACAAGACCAGAAAUGCCACGGCCGCGUCCUGGCAGAGAAAAGGCUGAAAUGGAGGACCGGCGCCUUCCUUAUAAGCUCGUUGGGGCCUAAGCCAGUACCGACCUGGUAGAAAAAGCAACCACGAAGCUAGAGAGAGAGCCAGAGGAGGGAAGAGAGCGCCAGACGAAGGUGAAAGCGAACCACGCAGAGAAAUGCAGGCAAGGGAGCAAGGCGGCAGUUCCCGGAACAAACGUGGCAGAGGGCAAGACGGGCACUCACAGACAGAGGUUUAUGUAUUUUUAUUUUUUAAAAUCUGAUUUGGUGUUCCAUGAGGAAAAGGGAAAAUCUAGGGAACGGGAGUACAGAGAGAAUAAUCCGGGUCCUAGCUCGCCACAUGAACGCCCAGAGAACGCUGGAAAAACCUGAGCGGGUGCCGGGGCAGCACCCGGCUCGGGUCAGCCACUGCCCCACA